GAUGGAUUGAAGUUCAGUUUUAUUUCCUUUUCUGACUCAUUUAUUCUCUCCCAGGCAAAGUCAUUUGUACUCCAGCUACCUUCGAAAGGCAUGAUGCCCAGGCUAAGAAAAUUUUCCAAUCUUUUAAUGGGACUGCUGCAGAUGAAGAAAAACAUCACGUAUAGAAAACCAAUGAUCAAAAGUGACCACCCCUCUCUAGGACACUUAAAUACAAAGAGGAUCUCAGACAGUCAGGACGAUGUGAGUCUGCACAGUGAGGGCUGGUUAUUACUGAAGAGACUGGUGUUUUGGGCAGUGCUGUUGGUUUAGCAGACAUGAGCAUCCGGGCUUGCCUUCCAGCCACCGGCCUGGGCCCACCAUGCAACAUGCCGUGAUGACCAAUGAGUGACUCGGGCCUAUUGCCUGCCCUGAGCAAUUCCUCCAAGGAAUGAACGUGAAGAGCAGAGACUGAGGCUUAUCCCGGCUUCCCAUGGCCCACCCAGACCUCAGGAAAGGAUGGAGUUUGCUCAGCAGGUGGCCAUGGAGUCUGAACUGGCCGCUUUCUACCACAUAUCAAACUCAUGUGCCCCAAAGGGAAAAAUCAUGUGUGUGGGGGGCAGAAAAUC
rnacentral:lncRNA from 1 species